rnacentral:rRNA from 1 species
AGCGAACGCUGGCGGCAGGCUUAACACAUGCAAGUCGAACGCCCGUAGCAAUACGGGAGUGGCAGACGGGUGAGUAACGCGUGGGAACAUGCCCUUUGGUUCGGAAUAACUCAGGGAAACUUGAGCUAAUACCGGAUAAGCCCGAGAGGGGAAAGAUUUAUCGCCGAAGGAUUGGCCCGCGUCCGAUUAGCUAGUUGGUGAGGUAAUGGCUCACCAAGGCGACGAUCGGUAGCUGGUCUGAGAGGAUGAUCAGCCACACUGGGACUGAGACACGGCCCAGACUCCUACGGGAGGCAGCAGUGGGGAAUAUUGGACAAUGGGGGCAACCUUGAUCCAGCCAUGCCGCGUGAGUGAUGAAGGCCCUAGGGUUGUAAAGCUCUUUCGGCGGGGACGAUAAUGACGGUACCCGCAGAAGAAGCCCCGGCUAACUUCGUGCCAGCCGCCGCGGUAAGAC